rnacentral:lncRNA from 1 species
CCAUAUUUUGGUUUGACAAAGAAAGCAAAGUUAAAAACGGUAGUGCUAGUUGAGGGUCAAAUUAGGGACAUUUCACCUUAAUUUAUAGGCAGAUUAGGGUUUCAAUCAUGAUUGGGACUCUGGCUGCAGAGGCUGCGCGUCUCCCGUCCAGUCUCCUGGUAUACUUCUUCUUUCUGCUCUGCUUCUCCUCUGUUAUAUUCCUGUUCUGGAGUUUUAUUUCUGUUUCUGCCCUAACGAGGGGUUGUAGUGAGGUUCAAUUGCUGAUUUCUUGGUGAAUUUUUAUCGAUCUUAGGAAGCCAGGCUUUGGCUGUGAAUGAGUGAGUGUAUGGUUGUGGUAAAAAGAGCGAUCUUUUUGUUUUUUGGCCACUCACUGUUACCCCUAAUAAAUGAUUAUAAUCUUGUAGUAUUAAUUAAUCUGGACAAUGGAUAUAGUGGAAAAUGAUGAAAUAUAGCAGGUACUUAUGAUGGAUCUGUGACCAGAUGUACUCCUGGUGCUACCAAUUUUGGCUCUGUGCUGAGCUUCUAGGACACAUUUCUGGUUGAUUAUCCCAUCAAAUACUUGCUGAUUCCUCCUAUAUCCUUUGUUUAGACCAGCUUCCAUGUCCUGAGCUACUACAUUAGAUUUUAUCCUUUUGACUCUUUUACUAAAUGGGUUCUUUGGUACUAGCAUGUUUGCUAAGGUCAGACGGUCAAAGAGUCCUUUUUCUUGUCAUUUUCUGUGUGUAUCUGAAGGGGAGCCUAGACGCAACAAUAAAACUUGUCACCUUGAGACUAGGUGGUCAAAGAUUCAAGCCACGAAAAUAGCCUCUUGCAGAAAUGUAAGGGAAGACUACUUACGGUCCUCCGUGCAUUAAUUUGUUUUCUUUUUGUUUUGUUUGUUUGUUUUUCUUUUGUCCUUUUCUUCUUUGAAUUGCUGAAUGUCUUUAGAGUCAUAGUGGAGCUGUCUGAAUCAGAUUAUAUGACUAGAGUUUCUCAGUAAAACAGUCAUCAUGAGGAGGAAGGGUUGCAGAUACGAAUGCUGGAAAUGUAUAAACAUUCACCAGAUAUAGAAAAGCAUUUGAAGAAAUUACAGGCAUGACUUGGUUAUUUAACAAAUAUCAAGUUGAUUAACUUUUUUGCACUCUUUUGGUAAUGUUCCUUUAACAUUUUGCCCUCAUUGUUAACCAUACAGUUGAUUAACUUUUUUGCACUCUUUUGGUAAUGUUCCUUUAACAUUUUGCCCUUAUCGUUAAUAUGAUGAUUAUUAUUACGUCAUUGAUACAAAGAAAAAUAUGAAUGCAGAUUGUCUUUUGCAAAUCUUAUCAGCCUUUAUGGUCAUGGUAGUGUUGAUUGAUACUAGAAGAUGAUGCCGUUGUGCUUGUAGCCUCAAGAUUUUCGCCUCCCAGUUGGCCUAGUGAAUCCUUCUCCACCUUUUCCUUUUUCACGAUUUCUUCAUCAAUAUGUAUAUCUUCAUCAAUUGUCAGAAUGACAGCUUUUGUUCCAUCUGGACGGGUUACAAUGUCUUCGUGGACCUUCAUAUGUUCAUCCACUUUCACUAUAUCAAUUUCCUGAAAGGUUUUCUUCUUUCUCUUCUUAAGGAAGCAACACAGAGCAAUUGAGAGAAAUGCCAGGAAGAAUAGACCACCAAGCGAGACGAAUAUAAUGAUGAUGGUAUGAGAAUGAUGUCCGGGUGGAGGUGGAGGUGGGGUU